rnacentral:rRNA from 1 species
UGGGGAAUUUUGCACAAUGGGCGAAAGCCUGAUGCAGCGACGCCGCGUGAGGGAUGGAGGCCUUCGGGUUGUGAACCUCUUUCGCUCAUGGUCAAGCCGCGCGUGUGCGUGUGGUGAGGGUAGUGGGUAAAGAAGCGCCGGCUAACUACGUGCCAGCAGCCGCGGUAAUACGUUGGGCGCGAGCGUUGUCCGGAAUUAUUGGGCGUAAAGGGCUUGUAGGCGGUUGGCCGCGUCUGCCGUGAAAUCCUCUGGCUUAACUGGGGGCGUGCGGUGGGUACGGGUUGACUUGAGUGCGGUAGGGGAGACUGGAAUUCCUGGUGUAGCGGUGGAAUGCGCAGAUAUCAGGAGGAACACCGGUGGCGAAGGCGGGUCUCUGGGCCGUUACUGACGCUGAGGAGCGAAAGCGUGGGGAGCGAACAG